rnacentral:rRNA from 1 species
AUUGAACGCUGGCGGCAGGCCUAACACAUGCAAGUCGAGCGAGCGGAGGACGGGUGAGUAAUGUCUGGGAAACUGCCUGAUGGAGGAGGAAAACUACUGGAAACGGUAGCUAAUACCGCAUACCAUCAGAUGUGCCCAGAUGGGAUUAGCUAGUGGGUGGGGUAAUGGCUCACCUAGGCGAAGAUCCCUAGCUGGUCUGAGAGGGUGACCAGCCACACUGGCACUGAGAAACGGUCCAAACUCCUACGGGAGGCAGCAGUGGGGAAUAUUGCACAAUGGGCGCAAGCCUGAUGCAGCCAUGCCGCUUGUGGGAAAAAGGCCUUCGGGUUGUAAAGCACUUUCAGCGAGGAGACGUUACUCGCAGAAGAAGCACCGGCUAACUCCGUGCCAGCAGCCGCGGUAAUUC